CCUACGGGCGGCAGCAGUGGGGAAUAUUGGACAAUGGGGGCAACCCUGAUCCAGCCAUGCCGCGUGUGUGAAGAAGGCCCACGGGUUGUAAAGCACUUUCAGUGAGGAAGAACGCCUGGUGGUUAAUACCCAUCAGGAAAGACAUCACUCACAGAAGAAGCACCGGCUAACUCCGUGCCAGCAGCCGCGGUAAUACGGAGGGUGCGAGCGUUAAUCGGAAUUACUGGGCGUAAAGCGCGCGUAGGUGGCUUGAUAAGCCGGUUGUGAAAGCCCCGGGCUCAACCUGGGAACGGCAUCCGGAACUGUCAAGCUAGAGUGCAGGAGAGGAAGGUAGAAUUCCCGGUGUAGCGGUGAAAUGCGUAGAGAUCGGGAGGAAUACCAGUGGCGAAGGCGGCCUUCUGGACUGACACUGACACUGAGGUGCGAAAGCGUGGGUAGCAAACAGGAUUAGAUACCCUAGUAGUC
rnacentral:rRNA from 1 species